GAUGAACGCUGGUGGCGUGCUUAACACAUGCAAGUCGAACGGUGAACGAGGGAGCUUGCUCCCUCCGGAUCAGUGGCGAACGGGUGAGUAACACGUGAGCAAUCUGCCCUGGACUCUGGGAUAAGCGUUGGAAACGACGUCUAAUACCGGAUACGAGGCGUGGGGGCAUCCCCAACGCCUGGAAAGAACUUCGGUCCAGGAUGAGCUCGCGGCCUAUCAGCUAGUUGGUGAGGUAACGGCUCACCAAGGCGACGACGGGUAGCCGGCCUGAGAGGGUGACCGGCCACACUGGGACUGAGACACGGCCCAGACUCCUACGGGAGGCAGCAGUGGGGAAUUUUGGACAAUGGGCGCAAGCCUGAUCCAGCCAUGCCGCGUGUCUGAAGAAGGCCUUCGGGUUGUAAAGGACUUUUGUCCGGGAGCAAAUACCCAGUGCUAAUAACGCUGGGGGCUGAGAGUACCGGAAGAAUAAGCACCGGCUAACUACGUGCCAGCC
rnacentral:rRNA from 1 species